GCCAGUAUGGUGGAUAUGACCCUCGGAUUGUAACCGAGUGGACUUGGGUUCGAAUCCCGACUAAGGCA
rnacentral:tRNA from 1 species